GACGGAGGGUGCAAACGUUGCUCGGAAUCACUGGGCGUAAAGGGUGCGUAGGCGGGUCUUUAAGUCAGGGGUGAAAUCCUGGAGCUCAACUCCAGAACUGCCUUUGAUACUGAAGAUCUUGAGUUCGGGAGAGGUGAGUGGAACUGCGAGUGUAGAGGUGAAAUUCGUAGAUAUUCGCAAGAACACCAGUGGCGAAGGCGGCUCACUGGCCCGAUACUGACGCUGAGGCACGAAAGCGUGGGGAGCAAACAGG
rnacentral:rRNA from 1 species